rnacentral:rRNA from 1 species
CAGUCGCCGCGGUAAUACGAAGGGGGCUAGCGUUGCUCGGAAUGACUGGACGUAAAGGGCGCGUAGGCGGAUUGUUUAGUUAGGCGUGAAAUUCCUGGGCUUAACCUGGGGACUGCGCUUAAUACAGGCAGUCUAGAGUGAGGAAGAGGGUUGUGGAAUUCCCAGUGUAGCAGUGAAAUGCGUAGAGAUCGGAAGGAGCAUCUGUGGCGAAGGCGACUAUCUGGGCCAACACUGACACUGAGGCACGAAAGCGUGGGGAGCAAACAGGAUUAGAGACCCCCGUAGUCCCUGUCUCUUAUAC